rnacentral:rRNA from 1 species
AACGAACGCUGGCGGCAUGCCUAACACAUGCAAGUCGAACGGGAUCCUAGCUUGCUAGGUGAGAGUGGCGGACGGGUGAGUAACACGUGGGAAUCUGCCUUUUGGUUCGGGAUAACCGCGGGAAACUGCGGCUAAUACCGAAUGCCCUCGUGAGAGGAAAGAUUUAUCGCCAGAAGAGGAGCCCGCGUCCGAUUAGGUAGUUGGUGGGGUAAAGGCCUACCAAGCCGACGAUCGGUAGCUGGUCUGAGAGGAUGAUCAGCCACACUGGGACUGAGACACGGCCCAGACUCCUACGGGAGGCAGCAGUGGGGAAUAUUGGACAAUGGGGGCAACCCUGAUCCAGCAAUGCCGCGUGAGUGAUGAAGGCCUUAGGGUUGUAAAGCUCUUUUGCCAGGGAAGAUGAUGACUGUACCUGGAGAAUAAGCCCCGGCUAACUUCGUGCCAGCAGCCGCGGUAAU